rnacentral:rRNA from 1 species
ACGAACGCUGGCGGCAUGCCUAACACAUGCAAGUCGAACGAAGUCUUCGGACUUAGUGGCGCACGGGUGCGUAACGCGUGGGAAUCUGCCCUUGGGUACGGAAUAACUCAGAGAAAUUUGUGCUAAUACCGUAUAAUGUCUUCGGACCAAAGAUUUAUCGCCCAAGGAUGAGCCCGCGUAAGAUUAGCUAGUUGGUGAGGUAAAAGCUCACCAAGGCGACGAUCCUUAGCUGGUCUGAGAGGAUGAUCAGCCACACUGGGACUGAGACACGGCCCAGACUCCUACGGGAGGCAGCAGUGGGGAAUAUUGGACAAUGGGCGAAAGCCUGAUCCAGCAAUGCCGCGUGAGUGAUGAAGGCCUUAGGGUUGUAAAGCUCUUUUACCCGGGAUGAUAAUGACAGUACCGGGAGAAUAAGCUCCGGCUAACUCCGUGCCAGCAGCCGCCGUAAAAC